UGUUGUAUUUUUGUUUUUAAUCUGAUAUACAAUAAAAUAGAAAGUUUAUUUAUUCAAGUAACAUGACUCAUAAUAUUAGUAAAAAAACUUAAUUUUAUGUUAGUAAAAAAUAUAAUAAUAUACCUAACUACCUUAUACUUUAUUUGUGCCUACUCGAAAGACUCUGAAACUACUGAACCGAUGUAAAAAUCACCAAUGAAAUGAGCUACAGUAUUCCCGAGUGACAGGCUACAUGUAAUGUAGGGCUGCCGCCAUCUUGAAUUUCGCCAAACCUGAAUAAACAUAAAAAAUCCCGGACAUUUGGCGUAAUCGCAUUUUUUCCCCGGACGGACGAGACCGAUUUUUUUUUUAAAACAAAACAAUACCUCAUUUUUCACCCAUUUACUUUACCAUAUAGGUACUUAAAUUCAAUCAAGCGCUUUCUUACAUGAAAAGUGUCUGGGUUUUCCCCGGACUCUUCUUUAAACCCCGCCCGGACGACCUCCAAACGAGGACAAAUCCGGGGAAACCCGAACGGAUGGCAGCCCUAUACAUCUACAUGUAAGACAUUAUGCGACACAAGUCAAACCGUGAGAAACAGCUAGUGUUAUAAUAUUUGUUACCCCAGUGUCCUGUGUGAACUACGAAAUAGUUUUAUGAAUGAACAUAAAGAAUGUAAAUUAACACACAGUGUUCUAUUCGUAUAGAUUAUAUUUUGACAAUCGUAAAGCCUCAGCAUACCUAUUUGACCAACUCUGCGAGAUGCAAAAUUAUUUAUAUGCAACACGCGACGACUCUAUAGUUGCAUUAUGCAUGUUGCAUACCUAAAUGUAAUAACUACAACUAAGUAGGUACAUAUUGCAGGUAUCUAGAUUAGUUUUCCGCAUUAUACACAUACCGAAUGAAUGAUUAAUGUCUGCAUUGCAAAUUAUAAUAAACACAUAUUCUCAUGUCAAAAGGCGACCAAACCGAUCGUAAUUUUGGGGAACCGAAUUUCUAAAUGAUCUGCUAAAACAACUAGGGAUCUGUCACGCUCGAUUAUCGCUGAAACACGUCCACUGCUGGACUGCUGCCUCCCCCAAGGUUCACCACUUAGGUCGAUCUUCAGCAACCCACAUCCCCCGCUUCCGACCACCACGACCUUGGCCAGAUCGUCCGUCCAUCUAGUGGGGGGGCUACGCUGAGUCUUCCGGGCGCAUUCCGUUUUCCCGUUUGGGCAUUGUGUUCUAAAAAUCCCAAAUAUUACAAAAGGCCGAUGACUAACUUGGAAUUAUUUGGCUUUGUCUUAAGAAUUAUUCAUAAGUAUGGAAAUACCGGCCAACGAGUAGGUACCUAGGUAUUUUCCUCUAUAGUUAAAAACUAGUUUUCUUUGCGUCUACAAUGUGUAAUUCAGUCAUUUAUAACGAUUCAUUUGUAAAGUAUACUCGUGUGAUAUUUAAAUUUAAAAUAUGACUACAUUAAAGUUAUUAUCUGUUCUCCUAGUAUUAUAUCUCAUUGUGAAUGUUAAUGCCGACCUCCUUAUGCCCGGCUCACACUUGCAAUGCAUUUACUACAGAUCUAAGUUGGAAGAAGUCAACACAAAGCUGGCCAGCUCUUCAGGCACCCAAGAAGAUAAAAACCAAGAAGCAAUGCUAUUACAACAACUAAAACAGUAUUGUUAGCUUUAAACGAAUAUAGAAAGACUAAAAUGUAUGUUUUAUACUUCGCUUUAAGAUGUUAUUUUUAAGAAAAAUACAUGGUAUUUGGUGA